GACGAACGCUGGCGGCGUGCUUAACACAUGCAAGUCGAACGGAAAGGCCCUGCUUUUGUGGGGUGCUCGAGUGGCGAACGGGUGAGUAACACGUGAGUAACCUGACCUUGACUUUGGGAUAACUUCAGGAAACUGGGGCUAAUACCGGAUAGGAUCUCCUGCUGCAUGGUGGGGGUUGGAACGUUUCGGCGGGUGGGGAUGGACUCGCGGCUUAUCAGCUUGUUGGUGGGGUAGUGGCUUACCAAGGCUUUGACGGGUAGCCGGCCUGUGAGGGUGACCGGCCACAUUGGGACUGAGAUACGGCCCAGACUCCUACGGGAGGCAGCAGUGGGGAAUAUUGCACAGUGGGCGGAAGCCGGAUGCAGCAACGCCGCGUGCGUGAUGACGGCCUUCGGGUUGUAAACCGCUGUCGCCUGUGACGAAGCGUGAGUGACGGUAAUGAGUAAAGAAGCACCGGCUAACUACGUG
rnacentral:rRNA from 1 species